rnacentral:rRNA from 1 species
GAUGAACGCUAGCUACAGGCUUAACACAUGCAAGUCGAGGGGCAGCAUGACCUAGCAAUAGGUUGAUGGCGACCGGCGCACGGGUGAGUAACACGUAUCCAACCUACCGGUUAUUCCGGGAUAGCCUUUCGAAAGAAAGAUUAAUACCGGAUAGUAUAACGAGAAGGCAUCUUCUUGUUAUUAAAGAAUUUCGAUAACCGAUGGGGAUGCGUUCCAUUAGUUUGUUGGCGGGGUAACGGCCCACCAAGACAUCGAUGGAUAGGGGUUCUGAGAGGAAGGUCCCCCACAUUGGAACUGAGACACGGUCCAAACUCCUACGGGAGGCAGCAGUGAGGAAUAUUGGUCAAUGGACGAGAGUCUGAACCAGCCAAGUAGCGUGAAGGAUGACUGCCCUAUGGGUUGUAAACUUCUUUUAUAUGGGAAUAAAGUGAGCCACGUGUGGCUUUUUGUAUGUACCAUACGAAUAAGGAU